rnacentral:rRNA from 1 species
GAUGAACGCUGGCGGCGUGCCUAAUACAUGCAAGUCGAGCGAGCGGACGAGAAGCUUGCUUCUCUGAUGUUAGCGGCGGACGGGUGAGUAACACGUGGAUAACCUACCUAUAAGACUGGGAUAACUUCGGGAAACCGGAGCUAAUACCGGAUGAUAUUUUGAACCGCAUGGUUCAAAAGUGAAAGACGGUCUUGCUGUCACUUAUAGAUGGAUCCGCGCUGCAUUAGCUAGUUGGUAAGGUAACGGCUUACCAAGGCAACGAUGCAUAGCCGACCGGAGAGGGUGAUCGGCCACACUGGAACUGAGACACGGUCCAGACUCCUACGGGAGGCAGCAGUAGGGAAUCUUCCGCAAUGGGCGAAAGCCUGACGGAGCAACGCCGCGUGAGUGAUGAAGGUCUUCGGAUCGUAAAACUCUGUUAUUAGGGAAGAACAUAUGUGUAAGUAACUGUGCACAUCUUGACGGUACCUAAUCAGAAAGCCACGGCUAACUACGUG